CGAGGGACUUGUGCGCCAAGGGCGCACGGAGUUGGCGCCGGCUGCUUGGAGAGCGACUGCGGGCAGCCUCUCCUUGGCCAGCCCAGACUCAGACAGCCGCCUCCGCCGCUCUGCGGACCUUCUCUCCAGGCUCCCUCCGGGGGUCCUCCGCAGCCUGAGAUCAUGCGGCUGUGAGGAGGCGCUGGGUUCCGCAGCGCCCCUCUCCGUCCCGAGCCGCGCCGCGCCUUGUGCGUCCUGCUGGGGCGAAGAAGGAGGCGCCUCUCUCCAAAGCUCUCCAAGAUGUCCCUGGCGGUGCGCUUCUGGUCUUGGUGCUGCUGCUGCUGCCUGUGGGGCUGCAGCUUCGGGACGGGCUUCCUCUACCACCCGUUCCCCGCCUCCGCCCUGCAGCAGCAGCACAACUUCCCCGAGCAGAACUCCGGAGGGCCGUCCGGCCACGGCUUCGCCAGUCGCCGGCACUGGUGCCACUACACAGUCACCCGGACCAUAUCCUGCCAGGUGCAGAAUGGCUCGGAGACAGUGAUCCAGAGGGUCUACCAAAGCUGUCGUUGGCCUGGACCGUGCACCAACUUAGUAAGUUACAGGACUCUCAUCAGGCCCACUUACAAGAUCUCCUACAGAACGAUGACCGCUCUGGAAUGGCGCUGCUGCCCGGGCUUCACAGGAAGCAACUGCGAGGAAGAAUGUAUGAAUUGCACGUGGCUCACGGAUAUGACGGAGAGGCUGAACACCCUUGAAGCCAAGAUCCUUCUACUUGAGGCUGCAGAGAGGACCCCACCUUCAGAGAAUGACUUGCCCAUGGCCAUGACGACGGCCACAUGGUAUGACGACCUCUUGCCGGACGCCAUUCCUCUCGCCAACCCUGGGACAGUGCUACGGAAGCCAAUCAGACCUGUUGGGUUGCCAGGACCGUCGGGGAAACCAGGACUUCAAGGGCCAAGAGGGGAGAAGGGAGACACCGGUGAGAAGGGGCCAUCUGGACAACCAGGACUGCUUGGACCUCCAGGACCCAGAGGAUAUCCCGGAGAAACUGGGAUUCCUGGCCCCCCAGGGCCCCCAGCUGCCCCAGGCCUCCCAUUAACGUUCCAGCAAGGAGUUCUAUACUCGCUGCAGCCGACGGCAGAAAAAGAAAAUGGUGAAGCUCAGUUGGCAUCCACAGUCAUCGACACCAUCCUGGCCGGUUUGCCAGGGCCUCGUGGUGCCCCUGGACCCAAUGGCCCACCAGGCCCACCAGGAUCAUCAGGCCCCAAGGGGGCACCAGGACCCAUAGGAGCUCCAGGGGUACAGGGCAUGCCUGGUUCUUCAGGACAGCCCGGAUCAAAAGGCUCCAAAGGCGACCGAGGAGAAAGAGGACAAGCAGGAACGACUGGAGAAAGAGGCGUUAAGGGCCUUCCUGGUGAACCCGGCAAGAAAGGUGAAGAAGGAGACAAAGGAGCAGAUGGUGAAGGUGUCCAACAACUUCGAGAGGCCCUGAAGAUAUUGGCCGAGAGGGUGUUAAUUUUAGAGCACAUGAUUGGAAUCCAUGAUUCUUUGUCUCCUAUUGAAGCAGGCUCAGGACAAGACAUGAUCCUGGGCGCCCCGCUCCGAGCAAAUGUGAAAAUCAAGAGGCAUCACUCAAACCAAAUCACUUUGUCUCUGCCGGAUGACAGUGAAACCAGAGAGAAAAGCAAGAAGAGGAACUAGGACAUCCAGAUGGUUCCCAGUCCCCAGCUAUGUUAGUAGAGUUAGACUCGUCAGAAAUCCAGGUCCACCAGGGAAGGCAGAAGAGCUUCCAGAGACGUAGGCACCGUUUGACUUCUGUCGGCGGUCCCAGCAGGUCAGGAUGGAAUGAAUGCACAUCGGAUACAUUCCUUGAACUGUCCAUGAUCUUUCUAAUGUAUGCUUACACUUAGUACAUGUCCUAUCUCUGUCCAUGUGUAGAUGUCUAUCUCAGGCAGUCAUGAUAAUGGCCACAAUUCAAGAGGUCUGGUGUGUGAAAGCCACCCAAAACCGCACUGAGUGUUUCUGAAAACCACAAUCUUAAGAGUUGCCCACAGUUUCUACUGAGGAUCUCCACAUGUCUGUCAUGGAGCCCAUGUGCAUUCUAGAACCUUUCGGAAUAUUCUGGAAGACACUCUCAAGUCACACGGAGUCUCUCAUCCCUCUACGUGAACUCAGAAUUCACAGAACACACUCAACACUCUUCUUCGGUAGCUGAACAUUACAGGGAAAGAUCAGUAGCAAUGCACACUUGAACUUUCAAGAAGGUUGGCUAUCAUUAUUGACGGAGAGCUCCAAGAAGCUUCUGAGGAGCCUCUGGGUUUCCCACAAUGCAUGAGGAAAGCCAUUGCUCUGACUUAAUUUCCCCAUACCCCACCACACCUGGUCACACACACGUGGUCCAGCUAGGAAAAAGCAGCCAGUAUUUUACUGGUCCCACUGGUAAAUCUGCAUUCUGUCAGCUCAGGAUUUGAGAUCUGCAAACCUCUGUUUCUGCCAGAGUUUGCCAACAACCCAUUGAAGUUCUGCAACACAAGAAAUGUCCCACAACAUUGUGGUGGACAUCCAGACUAUCACCACACGUGUGCAAACAUGUUGUGUGAAUGCAAGGCUGUUGCGAAGGCUAGCUCCGCUAUGUUCAGAGCUUGCGUUCCAGGUUUUGUGCUGUGAUUUUGAGCAACGGCGUCGCUUUCUAGGGGGGAAACAACUCUGUUCUUAGUCUAGAUGGCACCACUGUCUGGGUUUCACUCCCUUACCUUCCAGAUUAGGAGCACAGGAACAUAGGAAGCUGCCUUCUACCGAGUCAAACCAUUGCUCCAUCUGGAAGAGAGCUGGUCUUGUGGUCACAAGCACGACUUGUCCCCUUAGCUAAGCAGGGUCCACCCUGGUUUGCACUUGAAUGGGAGACUAGGAUUGUGAGCACUGGAAGAGAUUCCCCCUAGAGAAUAGGGUUGCUCUGGAAAAUGCAUCUAGGUUCCAAGUUCCCUCCCUGGCAGCAUCUCCCAAGAUCGGGCUGAGAGAGAUUCCUGCCUGCAACCUUGGAAAAGCCACUGCCAGUCUGUGUAGACAAUCUUGAGCUAGAUGGACCAAGGGCCUGACUCAGUAUGUGGCAGCUUCCGAUGUGCCUAUGGCUCAGUACUGUCUGCUCAACCAGCAGAUGUUGGCCUACAAUUCCCAUCAAUCCCUAUUGGCCACUGUGGCUGGGGAUGCUGGGAGCUGUAGUCCAGAAACAGCUGGAUGACUGCAGUUGAGUAGCCAUGGUCUACAGUGACUGGCAGCAUCCUUCCAAGGUUUCAGGCAGACUUUCCCAGGCCUACCCAGAGAUGCUGCCAGGGAUUCAACUUGGAACCUUCUCCAUGCCAGCCGAUGCUCUACCACUGAGCUAUGCCCCCCUCUCCUAUGGGGAGUAUCUGACAGCAGACAGCACUCACAUGCAGCCACCCAUCAAAAUGCAAACCAGGGUGGACCCUGCAUAGCAAAGGGGACAAUUCAUGCUCGCUACCACAAGACCUGCUUUAAAAGUAGCUGCCUUCUACUGAGUCAGGCCAUUGGUCCAUUUGCCAUGGUAUUGUCUGCACUGACUGGCAGCAGCUCUCCAAGGUUUCAGGCAGGCGUCUCUCCCAGCCCUAACUGGAGAUGCUGCCAGGAAUUGAACCUGGGACCUUCUGCAUGCAAGGAUGCAGAUGCUCUACCACCAAGCAUCCUGAUUCCUCUUGACUUGCCAGAUUUCUCCAGACUCGCCAAGUUUAGUUUUAGCUACAUCAAUGGCCUUCAGCAUUCCCAGGCUUUGCCGCAGCUUUACGGAGAGGCUUUACCAUGAAGUUGCUCCCACCCCCCCACCCCACCGGCCAAAGAAAAUCGAGGCAAAAAAAUUUUUUAACCGUGGUUAUAAAUCGGGCUACACUCUAACGUGCAGUGAAAAACCCAAAUUCUGUGUGAAGUGCUCCCCGAUAGCUCACAGGGACUUGGAGGUAAAUCUGGCCAAUAUGUGAACGCACACCCUCCAUUGCAGAGGAGAUGUGAUCGAAAAGCCAGGUGUGAAAAAGCUUCCUUGGGAUGUCUUAUGAAAGAUGGUAUAGAAACUGAACAAUAAAUAAAUAAAUCUCCUGCAGUCUACAGGCCCACAUAGCUGACAGGAACUGACACGGUUAAAAUUAUCAAUUCACCCCCCUCUACACAAACACACACAGAGUGCUCUGAUCAGCAUAUCUACUGCGAACAGCCCCACCUGAAUUUCUGUGCCCCACACAGAUAUGGAAGAACCUCCAUCGCGGGUUCCUUUGGCAGGCUGGCUGUUUCCAGUGUGUAAGACGGACUGACUCCCCACUAAGCAUUGCUGUUACACUUCCAAGCCUAAUCUGCUCCUCCAAAAGGACUAGCAACUUAACAAAAUGCUGGAAUUCUCAGGAAGCUGCAUUUUUCUCUGCCUAACGCCACCUUUUGUGCUUUAUCUACCCUUGGAUGGAAUUGCAGAACGUAUAAAGCCUUGCUUUUAAAGGACUUGUUUACACCAAGAGGGACAACUGGGUUGCUUUAAUGGGAGGCACACUGAAUUUAGACUUCCCUUGGGAGGCAGGACACAAGUAACCCCUGAUAAAUAUUCCCGUUAUCCACUGGUGACAGCACGACACAAUGGUGGUGGGUGGGUAUGGGGGGAAUAAGGGCUUGUAGGCCUGAGAGACUUUCCCCCCAUUGCACAGAUCACACAGGUAUGUUGGUAAUAUCUGAAUCGUAAGGCCUGUUCUCACGACCCGAAUCGGGGUUUGGAGAAGCACCCAGCCAGGGUGGGAGAGCCGAUAAGUGGUCAUGCAGAGUCCAAGGUGGAGAGGAAAGGAACUGUGUGGGAGCCAGGAGCUGGGGAAGGACAGCUUUUUGGCCAUUCUUGAUAAAUGUUAGACAGGACGUCCUACCUGCUUAGGAUUGCCAUGUCCCUCAGAAUUUAGGAUAGCCCCUGGAUUUUGGCUCCUCCACGCAGCGGCUAAAUUCCAGCUGGAUUUACAGAGAUUUCAAAUGCGCUGCCUGGAUUCCCGGAUUUUACUCUGGAUCCGAUCACACGGGAGGACAGAGAAGGAGGGGAAAGUAUACAAAUCUGUCAA